rnacentral:rRNA from 1 species
ACUAACGCUGGCGGCGUGCUUAACACCUGCAAGUCGAACGGUGAAGCGCCUUCCUUUUUGGUGGGUGUGGAUGAGUGGCGAACGGGUGAGUAACACGUUAGUAACCUGCCCCCUUCUUCUGGAUAACCGCAUGAAAGUGUGGCUAAUACGUGAUAUUCUGGGUCUGUCGCAUGAUGGGUCUGGGAAAGAUAUUGUUUCGGUGGGGGAUGGGCUCGCGGCCUAUCAGCUUGUUGGUGGGGUGAUGGCCUACCAAGGCGGUGACGGGUAGCCGGCCUGAGAGGGUGGACGGUCACACUGGGACUGAGACACGGCCCAGACUCCUACGGGAGGCAGCAGUGGGGAAUAUUGCACAAUGGGCGCAAGCCUGAUGCAGCGACGCCGCGGGAGGGAUGGAGGCCUUCGGGUUGUGAACCUCUUUCGCCAGUGAAGCAGGCCUGCCUCGUUUGUGGGUGGGUUGACGGUAGCUGGAUAAGAAGCGCCGGCUAACUACGUG